rnacentral:misc_RNA from 1 species
CCGAGUUUACAACUCCCAAACCCCUGUGAACUUAUACCUUUUCAGUUGCUUCGGCGGGACCUCGCAUCACUGCGGCCCCGCCGGAGGACCCAAACUCUUCUGUAUUUUAUAGUACUUUCUGAGUGGAUUAUACAAAUGAAUCA